CAGGGGCAUAUGCCAUUUCUUAAACGGUUUAUUCCAUUAGGGCUACGGCCUUGGAAUGGCUAUAAAUUAAAGCACUACUCGGCGCUUAUACAUGUCUUCAAAACUAUGGCUGCGCCGCCACAUGCAUGAAAGGAGGUCGAUGGAUCGAUUCAAGUAAGCGAACCCGUUAUAGGGCAACCCUCUGACGGCUGUUGGUGCAUGCAUGCUGCUGUAUAUAUGCAAUGCCAUAUAUGUGCUUCUCUUGGCUUAACCUCUCUGGCCGGUGAUGAUCAACUGCCAAAGGAGAGUUGCCCUACAACUGCUUCAGCUUAUUAUAAUACCCAUAAACAUAAUUCAAGAAGGGACGUACAGUACUACUAGCAUUUUAUGCAAGGUUUUUCAAAACUGGUAGGCAAAUUGGAUUUCGCAGUGGUGGCGGAGGUUUGGAGGUAUGGCCGCGAAGGGUGUGCGACCCCAAUGAUCUGCAUUUUCUGGUCGUCUUUGUGUUGCUGAUUUUGGCCGGCAAUCACUUCAAAGGUGCAGGCCGGACAAGGGGUUGACUUGGCGGUGUUGGUUCCAGCUUUUGUUCGCGUUCAUGAUCCUGGGGGUUCAUGGAGAGGCGGUGUUAGGCGGCUGAUCUGUUCUACCAAUGCCCUCUCUUUGUUCUCCUCUCCGUCGUCGUAGGGCACCAUUAGUUUUACUUUGGUGGGUCUGUUGGAUUCAUUCCUGCCUCCGGUCUUCUAGGAGGGACCGGAUCUGCUUAACGGCGAGGCGGUUGGGUGGUGGUAUUGGCAGUGUGGUGUUGCUUACGGUGCUUUGCGCAGCAGCGGUUUGGGGGCGGGUUAGGAUUUUGUGGGGUUGGAUUAGCUGGGUGGAUCUUUGUUGGCCUGUUUAUUUUGUUUGAGCUUUGUUGUAUAUUUGGGUUUCGGGUGGGUUUGAUUGUGUAACGACCUGAAAUUUUUUUCCUUUCUCUUAAAGAAUAUAGAUAUAUAUAUAUAUAUAUAUAUAUAUUUAUAUAUAGAUAUAAAAUUUUAUGUGCUAA